rnacentral:tRNA from 7 species
UAUGGCAGAUUAUAUG